rnacentral:rRNA from 1 species
UCCUACGGGAGGCAGCAGUGGGGAAUAUUGCACAAUGGGCGCAAGCCUGAUGCAGCCAUGCCGCGUGUAUGAAGAAGGCCUUCGGGUUGUAAAGUACUUUCAGUCGGGAGGAAGGUGUUAAGGUUAAUAACCUUGGCAAUUGACGUUACCGACAGA